GUGAACUAACGCUGAACGGGUGAGUAACACGUGGGCAAUCUGCCCUUCACUCUGGGACAAGCCCUGGAAACGGGGUCUAAUACCGGAUAUGACCUGCCUCCGCAUGGGGGUGGGUGGAAAGCUCCGGCGGUGAAGGAUGAGCCCGCGGCCUAUCAGCUUGUUGGUGGGGUAAUGGCCUACCAAGGCGACGACGGGUAGCCGGCCUGAGAGGGCGACCGGCCACACUGGGACUGAGACACGGCCCAGACUCCUACGGGAGGCAGCAGUGGGGAAUAUUGCACAAUGGGCGAAAGCCUGAUGCAGCGACGCCGCGUGAGGGAUGACGGCCUUCGGGUUGUAAACCUCUUUCAGCAGGGAAGAAGCGAGAGUGACGGUACCUGCAGAAGAAGCGCCGGCUAACUACGUGCCAGCAGCCGCGGUAAUACGUAGGGCGCAAGCGUUGUCCGGAAUUAUUGGGCGUAAAGAGCUCGUAGGCGGCUUGUUGCGUCGGAUGUGAAAGCCCGGGGCUUAACCCCGGGUCUGCAUUCGAUACGGGCAGGCUAGAGUGUGGUAGGGGAGAUCGGAAUUCCUGGUGUAGCGGUGAAAUGCGCAGAUAUCAGGAGGAACACCGGUGGCGAAGGCGGAUCUCUGGGCCAUUACUGACGCUGAGGAGCGAAAGCGUGGGGAG
rnacentral:rRNA from 1 species